rnacentral:rRNA from 1 species
GACGCUGGCGGUGCGCCUUAUGCAUGCAAGUCGAGCGAAGCUUUUCAGUAGUUUACUACAGAAAAUGACUGAGCGGCGAACGGGUGAGUAACGCGUGAGCAACCUACCUUAGUUACUGGGAUAGCCCGAGGAAACUCGGAUUAAUACCGGAUAUUCUUAUUUAAUCACAUGAUUUUUUAAGGAAAGGUCAGCCGAACUAAGAUGGGCUCGCGUUCUAUCAGCUAGUUGGUAGGGUAAUGGCCUACCAAGGCUACGACGGAUAGCUGGUCUGAGAGGACGAUCAGCCACACUGGGACUGAGACACGGCCCAGACUCCUACGGGAGGCUGCAGCAGGGAAUAUUGCGCAAUGAGCGAAAGCUUGACGCAGCGACACCGCGUGUGGGAUGACGGAUCUAGGUUUGUAAACCACUUUCAGGAGGGAAGAAAAUGACGGUACCUCCACAAGAAGCCCCGGCCAACUACGUGCCAGCAGCCGCGGUAAUACGUAGGGGGCGAGCGUUGUCCGGAUUUAUUGGGCGUAAAGAGCUCGUAGGCGGUUCAACAAGUCGGUCGUGAAAGUUCAGGGCUCAACCCUGAAAUGUCGAUCGAUACUGUUGUGACUAGGAUACGGUAGAGGUGAGUGGAAUUCCGAGUGUAGCGGUGAAAUGCGUAGAUAUUCGGAGGAACACCAAUUGCGAAGGCAGCUCACUGGGCCGCUAUCGACGCUGAGGAGCGAAAGCUAGGGGAGCAAACAGGAUUAGAUACCCUGGUAGUCCUAGCUGUAAACGAUGGAUACUAGACGUAGGAAUUGGAUUAACGAUUUCUGUGUCGUAGCUAACGCGUUAAGUAUCCCGCCUGGGGAGUACGGU